UACUCAGUGUGGCCUUGAACUUGAAUGC
rnacentral:piRNA from 1 species